CUUGGGGUCGGCGAAGCGGUGCGGGUCGUCUCCGAACUCGGCGAGCACCCGGGCGCCCAGGACCGGCCCGAGCCCGGGCUGG
rnacentral:sRNA from 1 species